CAGGGUCAGGCUUCCCAGCUUCCUCCCAGGUGGACACUACCCGCAGCACUGUCGAGGACAGGCCCUGUUUCCUGUUUCUGUGGGUUGCUCUGAGGGACAGACAGGUUUCCAAGCUUCCUGUCUGAAGUAGGGAGGCCCUAACAGGGUCUUUGGAUUCACAGACCGAGUCACCACUGCCACCCCCUGUUCAAUAAGAAAAUGCUUCAGGAUGCACGACAGUUUCACGGCAGGUUGGGGAGACCUCCUUUCUAAUUCACAAAGCAGAGUCGACUGGCGGGGCCUUCAUUGUACAUAAGCAAACCUGGGCAAAGAUGAUGCCACCCAGGAACACGGAUGCCACCGAGUGUGCCCAGCCGCGGGCGUCACUCGGCACAGCCCAUGAGCAGCACUGUGAUUGCCCCCAGUGCGUGACGAUGGAAACUAAAGCCAUACAGCCAGCCCGAGAUGGCACUGGAUUCAAAUCUGCCCCUUACUGAGGAAGAAGAUGGGCAAAAAGGAACAGACACGUUUGGAAAUGGGGCGGCAAAACAACUCGCCAGUGACACAAUCUGAAAACACCAGGGUGAAUGACAGAAUAUUCAAACAGUGCAAAGAGGGAGAAGGUGCUAGAAGCAGCCACCACAAGUGGAGGACCUGACUGGAUGGUGAGAGUCCACAGAAACCCUGAGC